rnacentral:rRNA from 1 species
AGGUAAGCUACUAAGAGCGAAUGGUGGAUGCCUUGACUGGUAAAGGCGAUGAAGGACGUACUAGACUGCGAUAAGCUACGGGGAGCUGUCAAGAAGCUUUGAUCCGUAGAUUUCCGAAUGGGGCAACCCAAUGUAUAGAGAUAUACAUUACCUAUAUAGGAGCGAACGAGGGGAAUUGAAACAUCUUAGUACCCUCAGGAAAAGAAAUCAAUAGAGAUUGCGUCAGUAGCGGCGAGCGAAAGCGCAAGAGGGCAAACCCAGUGCUUGCACUGGGGGUUGUAGGACUGCAAUGUGCAAGAGGUAAGUUUAGCAGAACAUUCUGGAAAGUAUAACCAUAGAGGGUGAUAGUCCCGUAUGCGAAAAACAAACCUUAGCUAGCAGUAUCCUGAGUAGGGCGGGACACGAGGAAUCCUGUCUGAAUCCGGGUCGACCACGAUCCAACCCUAAAUACUAAUACCAGAUCGAUAGUGCACAAGUACCGUGAGGGAAAGGUGAAAAGAACUGAGGUGAUCAGAGUGAAAUAGAACCUGAAACCAUUUGCUUACAAUCAUUCAGAGCCCUAUGUAGCAAUACAGGGUGAUGGACUGCCUUUUGCAUAAUGAGCCUGCGAGUUGUGGUGUCUGGCAAGGUUAAGCAAACGCGAAGCCGUAGCGAAAGCGAGUCUGAAUAGGGCGCUUAGUCAGAUGCUGCAGACCCGAAACGAAGUGAUCUAUCCAUGAGCAAGUUGAAGCUAGUGUAAGAACUAGUGGAGGACUGAACCCAUAGGCGUUGAAAAGCCCCGGGAUGACUUGUGGAUAGGGGUGAAAGGCCAAUCAAACUUCGUGAUAGCUGGUUCUCUCCGAAAUAUAUUUAGGUAUAGCGUUGUGUCGUAAUAUAAGGGGGUAGAGCACUGAAUGGGCUAGGGCAUACACCAAUGUACCAAACCCUAUCAAACUCCGAAUACCUUAUAUGUAAUCACAGCAGUCAGGCGGCGAGUGAUAAAAUCCGUCGUCAAGAGGGAAACAACCCAGACUACCAGCUAAGGUCCCUAAAUCUUACUUAAGUGGAAAACGAUGUGAAGUUACUUAAACAACCAGGAGGUUGGCUUAGAAGCAGCCAUCCUUUAAAGAAAGCGUAAUAGCUCACUGGUCUAGUGAUUUUGCGCGGAAAAUAUAACGGGGCUAAAGUAAGUACCGAAGCUGUAGACUUGCACACAACUUAGAUUAUUUAAGUUUAGAAUAUGAGAAACUAAGUUAUAUGUUUAGUUAUAUUUUUACUGAUUUUUAUAGAGUAAAGAUAGAAAUAAAACUUAGUAAAAUCAGUAAAAAUAUUCUUAGACUAAAGUUAAGUAGUUUAAGUUGUGUGCAAGUGGUAGGAGAGCGUUCUAUUUGCGUCGAAGGUAUACCGGU